CUUCUGUUACAUCACAAAACCAGGGGGCGUUCCCCAGCGAAUACCGAGCCGUGAGCAUAAAAUACCAGGAAAUGUUCUUUAAACAGCUCAGCACAGUCACUGCUCCCAGAACCACAGCCGCCGUUUUCUCACUGCAAUAUUUACUUUUCAGCUUCUGGCAACAAAUGGCCACAAACCGAUCAAAGGUGAAAGUGACGGUGAACCAGACAGAGCAGUCAGUGGCUGCAUAAAGCAGGACGGCGUGGAUAUUACACACGGGGACGGAGUACUCCAGGAAAUAAAACUGUUCCCAAUAAACAAUGGGAAUGUGUCUCAGGAUCAGGUCGAGGAUAAUGACCAGGAGAUCCGCCGCUGCCAUGGCCCCCAGGUAUCUGUGCCAGCUGUCUGGAUACAGAAUUGGCUGGCAAGCAGAAGACAGCGAGUGGUAGUGGAAGGAAAAUAUUCUGCCUGGAAGUCUGUGGGCCAUAUAAACAUAUCUUCAAAUCAACCGAGACCAUUUUCUGCUCAGUGUAUGGCUCUGUGUAUAACAGCAGCAAUGAUGCACCGACAUGGAACAGGGAAUGUGAUGGAGACAUAGUUUGGACAAUGUACAAGGAGACCUCACAUGGUCCAGUUUGGGAGAGAAUGAUUUUAUUGUGUGAUUCAACUCAGAGAGGGAGACAAUGUCAUCUGCCCGAGAAGAAACGGCCUAUUGCACUCUCUCUCCUUCAUUAUUCCUCAUCACAGUAACGUGUACGAGCUAAAACAAAACUCUACUGUCAUCAUUACCAUUCUUAUUUUUAUAGAAUCCCUGCAGUGUGGAAACAAGCCCUUCGGCCCAACAAGUCCAUACUAACCCUCCAAUGAGUAACCUUCCCAUGCCCUUACAGUUACCACUGACUAGUGCACCUAAAGUAGAAAUCGUUGAACACUAUGGACUAUUUGAUCAAUCCACUUGAAUUAUACAGCUUUGGGCUGUGGGAGGAAACGGGAGCACCCAUCAGAAGCUCACACAGACAAGGGGAGAAGAUGCAAACUCCACGCAGAUAGUCGCCUGAGGCUGGAAUUGAACUCAUGCCCCUGAUGCUGUGAUGGAACAGUGCGAACUAGUGAGCCACUGUGCUAACCUGGAACCUCCUGUCUGCCUAAUGCAAAGGGAAUUCAGCCAAAUCCGACCCUCCCACGAUAAAAUCCCAUUGCUAGCGGCUGUGUGAGUACAAUAUCUUCAGAAGUAGAAUAACAUUUUGGACAAUCUCACAAUUUUUCCUUUUGUCAUUAGUUACACUAAUAUUUUGACAAGGUUGCAGAGAUUUUGUUUAUUUUAAGGGCGGCAUGGUGGCAGUGGUUAGCACUGCUGUCUCACAGCGCCAGAGACCCGGGUUCAAUUCCCGCCUCAGGCGACUGACUGUGUGGAGUUUGCACAUUCUCCCCGUGUCUGCGUGGGAUUCCUCCCACAAUCCAAAAAUGUGCAGGUUAGGUGAAUUGACCAUGCUAAAUUGCCCAUAGUGUAAGGUGCCAGGGUAAGUGCAGAGGAAUGGAUCUGGGUGGGUUGCGCUUUGGUGGGUCGGUGUGGACUUGUUGGACCAAAGGGCCUGUUUCCACACUGUAAGUAAUCUAAUCUACUUUGUGUGUGUGUGUGUGUGUCAGUGUAUUUAGAACGGGAAAUAACGGUUCUUUAUUUGCAAUAUCCAAACAGUUUGUCAUUCAUCUUUCCACCUUAGUUGGAGUAACAUUGCUCUGGAUCAUAAACGUGCUAUUUGAGCAGAUUAAAGAAA